GGGGUUGUAGCUCAGUGGUUGAGUACUUGCCUCACAUUCAUGAGGCACUGGGUUCAAUCCUCAGCACCA
rfam:Ictidomys tridecemlineatus contig002385, whole genome shotgun sequence.